CGCAAGGUUCUUCCUUGAACGUACACAGCAGGAAUCGCAAAGCGAAUCCCGAAAACUCCAGUGCUUAGCUGAAUGGGAAUGUUACUCCUUGUGCGCCGCGGCGUUCCGACACUAAAUACCAAUACUCUAGAAUUCGACGCCUUGGCUAAAUGACGACCACAAUACAUACGAGUACAGGUUUAGCUAACGUGGACCGCUCCGUGUUACCAAACACGUCUUAACCAAUUGACCACAAUAUACGAGUACAGGAUUGAUUAAGUGCGUAUAUGAACUUACAGGUGAUGCACGUUAAGACAAUAUUACGCUAUCUCUCUAUUGACCACGAUAUGUACGAGUACAGGAUCGAGAGAAGGUCCAAUAAUGCCAUUGUUGCGUACAAAAUAACCGCAAAUGCCUC